rnacentral:pre_miRNA from 1 species
UUUGAUAAUCUGACAUGGGACAGAGGUUCUUUUCACUGUUGUGUCAGUUUAUCAAACCC